AUUGAACGCUGGCGGCAGGCUUAACACAUGCAAGUCGAGCGGAGAUGAGGUGCUUGCACCUUAUCUUAGCGGCGGACGGGUGAGUAAUGCUUAGGAAUCUGCCUAUUAGUGGGGGACAACAUUCCGAAAGGAAUGCUAAUACCGCAUACGUCCUACGGGAGCAAGCAGGGGAUCUUCGGAUCUUGCGCUAAUAGAUGAGCCUAAGUCGGAUUAGCUAGUUGGUGGGGUAAAGCCCUACCAAGGCGACGAUCUGUAGCGGUUCUGAGAGGAUGAUCCGCCACACGGGGGCUGAGCAUAGGCGCGAACGGCUACGGGAGACAGCAGUGGGGGAUGUUGGACUAUGGGGGUAACCCUAAUCAAGCCAUGCAGGGUGUGUGAAGAAGGCGUUAUGGUUGGAAAGCUCUUUAAGCGAGGAGGAAGCUGCUGGGACUAAUACUGUUGGAUAGUUGACGUUACUCGCAGAACCAGCACCGGCUAACUCUGAGCCAGCAGCCGCCGUAA
rnacentral:rRNA from 1 species